AUAGCGUAUAUUAAAGUUGUUGCAGUUAAAAAGCUCGUAGUUGGAUUUCGGCGUGCGCUCGGGCUGGUCGGCCGUCAUGGUCUGCACCGUUCGGGUCACGCCCCACUGUAGGAUACUCACCGCUGUCCUUAACUGGGUGGCGGUCAAAGGUGGUCGCGGGUGGGGGCAACUCUACACACGGUCACUGGGGUUCCUACUCUUUUACUUUGAGCAAAUUAGAGUGUUCAAAGCAGGCAAUCGAGCCUUGAAUACUUCAGCAUGGGAUAAUGGAACAGGACUGGGGUCCUGAUUUCGUUGGUUUCUGGGAUUUCAGUAAUGAUUAAUAGGGAUAGUUGGGGGCAUUAGUAUUUAAUUGUCAGAGGUGAAAUUCUUGGAUUUAUGAAAGACUAACUUCUG
rnacentral:rRNA from 1 species